GCAUAGGUUUGGAUUUAUGACAGGCCCAUCCCCCUGGACCUCUCAUAGUGCCCCAUGCCAGAGCAAACUGUGGCCCCGAACCAUUGCCUGUACCUCUGGGCCACUGGCACUGAAGAGGGUUACACAGUG
rfam:Nomascus leucogenys chromosome 17, whole genome shotgun sequence.